CCCCUAGAUGUUCUGGGCCGCACGCGCGCUACACUGAACAGUUCAACAAGUCUUAACCUUGGCCGAUAGGUCUGGGUAAUCUUUGAACGCUGUUCGUGAUUGGGAUAGACCUUUGCAAUUAUGGGUCUUCAACGAGGAAUUCCUAGUAAACGCAAAUCAUCAGCUUGCAUUGAUUACGUCCCUGCCCUUUGUACACACCGCCCGUCGCACCUACCGAUUGAAUGGUCCGGUGAAAUCUCGGGACGGCGGCUUGGUCGCUUGCGUCCGACUGCUGAAACUUGAUUAAACCAUAUCAUUUAGAGGAAGGUGAANUCGUAACA
rnacentral:rRNA from 1 species